rnacentral:lncRNA from 1 species
GUGAGAUAAGGGCCAAAUGCGCCAAACAGAUUACAGUGGAGAGACACUUGGAUUUUGUCUAGCUGUGUGUUCUUGGCCAAGUCACUGAGUUAUUCUGAGCCUUAACUUCCCCCUCUUUUAAACAAGAAAAAUAUUCCUUGCAAACUGUUCCUCACAUUGUUGCUAUGAGAAACUUGCUAAUAUGCUAUAGGAAAGGGACUCAUUCAUUGACCUUGAAGGAUGGAGAUGCAACCAUGCUUUUGGAGGUGUAAAGAAGGACGGUGGGUAGAGAUGGAGAUUCCAAUCCUGCUCUCUGAUUGGGCUAAAGGAGCCAGCGCACAUGCUCACAGAUGCUGGGAUUGCCCAGGGAGCGGCUGGCUGCCAGGAGCCAUUUCAAAGACAGCAUUGCCGGGCACGCGCAGCGCUAAAACCGAGAAACCGAGAGAGAACCAGGUAAGCAUCAUCUCUCCGUAUGCUCUAGGGGCAGGGGGCAGGGAAGGCGCCCGGGGACGCCCCUCUGGGGAC